rnacentral:rRNA from 1 species
ACAUGCAAGUCGAGCGCGAAAGGGUUUCGGCCUGAGUAGAGCGGCGGACGGGUGAGUAACGCGUGGGAAUCUGCCUGGUAAUGGGGGAUAACGUUUCGAAAGGAGCGCUAAUACCGCAUACGCCCUAAGGGGGAAAGUGGGGGAUCUUCGGACCUCACGUUAUCAGAUGAGCCUGCGUCGGAUUAGCUAGUAGGUGGGGUAAAGGCCAACCUAGGCGACGAUCCGUAACUGGUCUGAGAGGAUGAUCAGUCACACUGGAACUGAGACACGGUCUAGACUCC